UACGAAGGGGGCUAGCGUUGCUCGGAAUCACUGGGCGUAAAGCGCACGUAGGCGGCUUCUUAAGUCAGGGGUGAAAUCCUGGAGCUCAACUCCAGAACUGCCUUUGAUACUGAAGAUCUUGAGUCCGGGAGAGGCGAGUGGAACUGCGAGUGUAGAGGUGAAAUUCGUAGAUAUUCGCAAGAACACCAGUGGCGAAGGCGGCUCACUGGCCCGGUACUGACGCUGAGGCACGAAAGCGUGGGGAGCAAACAGG
rnacentral:rRNA from 1 species